rnacentral:rRNA from 1 species
CACGUAGGGGCCAAGCGUUGUCCGGAUUUAUUGGGCGUUAAAGAGCUCGUAGGCGGUUCAGUCAGUUGGGUGUGAAAACUCCGGGCUUAACUCGGAGAGGCCACCCAAUACUGCUGUGACUUGAGUCCGGUAGGGGAGUGGGGAAUUCCUGGUGUAGCGGUAAAAUGCGCAGAUAUCAGGAGGAACACCAAUGGCGAAGGCAGCUCGCUGGGACGUGACUGACGCUGAGACGCGAAAGCGUGGGGAGCAAACAGG